UCUUUACUCCAGUCAUAUUAAAGUACUUGGAAUUCUCUGUUAAUGUUGAUUUCAUACCCCUAUACAUUUUUUCCUGUUCUCCCCUCUUUUUGGAAUGUGCUAUCAAACCAUGUCAGGUCAAGCAUCGCUUCCUCUACAAAACCUUUCCUUACCAUCUCCGCUGCCCUACUUUCCCUGCUUGGGGAAAAUAGACUCUUUAUGCCUCAUUGUUUAUGCAUACAUAUGAGUAAUUGUAUCUCACCAGCAGUAACACACUGUUGUACCUCUUGUUUUCACAUGUGCUUCUCCUUAUUAGACUAUAAACUCCAUUCACCAUCUUUCUGGAGCUGUCAUCUUUCAUUAGGAACAUCGUAAUAGCCUUUCAGCUAGUAGCCUGCCCCCCUCCACUGUUACCUGCUUUUGAAGUGAUUCUCCCCAUCUCCAGAGUAAGUGGGCUCAUCAAACUAUGCUUCUCUGUGUGAAAGGUGUGGUGGUGGGAACUGGGUGAAAUUAGCUCCAGGACACCAUUAGCACUUGGUCUAAUUUAUUUACUACAGUAGGUAUCCAUGUGCUGAGAGGUUCUCAAGAAGGAUGGGGAGUGGGGAAGAGUAGGAGUAAGUGGAGAAAGUAGGGGCUGAGAAACUAGGUGAAGAAUCAGAAUCAGGUGUAGACAGCCAUACGAGUCACAGAUCUGAAAAGGUCGAGUUAGCCAGAGUUCAACCAGGGCUGCCAGAACUUGUGUGGUUAGGGUGUGCCAGGCAGUGCCGUUAGGAGCUUCCAUGUAUUCAAGGGUUGGAGUGGUCAUGAAAUGAGAAAACGCUGUGCAGUGACAAAAAGUAGUUGCAAAAUUCUGAGUUUGGAGCCGAGAGGAACAUACACUGUGGGAGAUACAACGAGCAGCCUAAGUCAGAGUCUUGUCAAAAUCCAUUUCAUGAAAAGCUGAACUUUCAAAAUAGUGUAGUUAUAUUUGGUGCAUUGCAAUGCCACAUAAUUUCCUCCUUGACCACUAUAUUAAAGGGUUGCUUUCAAACGUCUUCCCCAAAUGGUAAACAUGAUUCCAAGUGGUUUAAGUUCACA
rnacentral:lncRNA from 1 species